rnacentral:rRNA from 1 species
GGCUCAGUAACACGUAGAUAAUCUGCCCUCGGGCCAGUAAUACCGUCGGGAAACUGACAUUAAGGACUGAUAGGAGAUGGUUUCUGGAAUGAGCUAUCUUUUAAUUUCGUGCCCAAGGAUGAGUCUGCGGCUGAUUAGGCUGUUGGCGGGGUAAUGGCCCACCAAACCAUUGAUCAGUAAGGGCCCUUAGCGGGGAAACCCUGAGAGGGAGUCUGAGACACUACUCCCAGCCCUACGGGGUGCAGCAGUUAGGGAUUUUUUGCAAUGCGCGCAAGCGUGACAGAGCGAGCCAGAGUGUUUUUCCAAUUUGGAAAAACUUUUGCCAGCUGUAAAAAGGCUGGCGAAUAAGGACUGGGCAAGACCGGUGCCAGCCGCCGCGGUAAUCCCGGCAGUCCAAGUCGCAACCACAAUUAUUGGGUCUAAAACAUCCGUAGCUUGCUUAGUAAGUCUGUUGUGAAAUUCUGUCUCUUAAGGGCAGAAACUGCAAUGGAUACUGCAAAGCUAGAGACCGGGGGACGCAACGAGUACAUCUGAGGUAGUGGUAAAAUACGUUAAUCUUAGGUGGACUAACACUAGCGAAGGCACGUUGCGAUAACGGUUCUGACAGUGAGGGAUGAAGGCUAGGGGCGCAAAUUGGAUUAGAUACCCAAGUAGUCCUAGCAGUAAACACUGCGCACUAAACAUUGUGACCUCCUCG